rnacentral:lncRNA from 1 species
AGCAACUUCAUCUGCAGGUGGAGACCCUCUUUGAGGCCAUGAGGUGAAAUUAAGGAAUCAGCCCCAUGGCCUGAUGCAGAAGCACUUGGACUGGUGGCUUGCGGCAGUGUGACAGCACCAGAGACAUCCUGGCUGGCCAGAGUUUUGUUACAAGCUGGCACCGAGGCGUGUUUGUCCCCAGCAAGAGAACAAGUAGGACCUGGGCUCUGUAGCAACAGAUGCUUUAGGUGGGAGGGAGCCCAAGACUUUGGCACAUAGCAGGAGGGUUUUGGGCGCUCGUCCUCAGCUGCAGGAGAGGAGGAGGGGGGUUGCAGAGGGGAAGGCUUGGCAGCAGACGGGAGGGAGAGAUUCUCUCCCUCACAGGCUGGGAAAGAGGGCUUAAGCAUCAGGUUGCCUGGCAAUGGGUUUCUAGGCAUCAGAAAUUGCUCUGAUCUGUUCACAUAGUGCGCUAGCUCAGAACAAAGCCCAUCUCUGUCCCUUUAAAGAUGGGGAGGAGCUGCAGGAUCGAGAUAUAUCACCUGGCAACAGGAUGCUGCCUCUCCUCCCUCUCCUCUGCACCAGGUUUUGCUCUUGGGAUGCUCCAGUGUGUGCCAGGCUCAGCCAAACACUUGGAGUCCCUCCGGCCUGAGGGGGAAAGCAAGGAUGAUGGGGGCUGGAGAAGGGGCAGAAGCUACCCUGGUGAAGCUUGCGCCGUGCAAGAAGGAGCAGCGGGAUGCCAGGAAGCCGAAGUGGCGAAUCAUCGCUUUCAAACAGCACUAAUGGGAGAGCAGGGGAGAGCUUGUUUGCGUUCAGACAACGGGAGCUAAUUUCCAGUGGCGGCAAGCGCCUGUCAGCCUCGCAGAAAUGUUCAGCCUGUUUGGAAAUGGUGAGAUAAUCCCCACAGCAUCCCAGUGCGGAGAGAAAGAAGGGCAGGAUUAGACCUUUAUCUGUGCCAUAGCAGCAGGAUAUGGCCUCCAAAGAGCUUUCACCUCUGUCAACUAACCCCUAGCUAUGGUGUGGGAUCCAAAAGCCCUGUUUUCAAGCCUACGUUUGAAUGAAGUAAGGGGGGGGGAGGUUUCUAGCCCUACUGGGGCAAGUCCAUGGAGGGAUGAGAUCAGCUUGUGAGGGAUGAGCAACCACUUUGCGUGGCAAAUGGCAGGUUCAGAGGUGGAAGGAAGGAAAUGGGAGAGAGGGGCAGGAGGUGGAGACACCAGGCACAGAUGCCCAGCUACACUCAGGUAGGAUGCAGACCUUAAAAGCUGAUGAUACCUUUACCACCCCCUUGCAGAUGUCCUGAAUAAUCCAAAUACCAGCAGUGGCACUGGGCACCAGUGUUCCAGCAGCUGGAUGAAGCCCACCUUGCUUGAGACCACACUGAAACAGAACACGACAAAGAUCCUGUGUCUCCUGAAUGCAUAUUAAUGCAGCCAUUAAGGGUUGCAUAGUCAAAAGACUGGGCAAAUUUAUGGGCAGAAACAUCCAUCCAGGACUGCUGAAUGUAAAAGCUCUUUCUCAGAAAGUCUGUGAAUUAUAGUUCACUGGGGGCUGAACAACUGUUUUGGAAAGAAUCAUUCCACACUUACAUUUUCUUUUUACAUUGUCUCUUGACACCUGCUGCUGGCCACACUUGGCAGCAGGGCACUGAGCUGGAGCGACCUUCUGUUUGACCUGCGAUAGCCAUCCUUAUCCUUUAAGUCCCAUCAUCUCUCUAAUUGCUGCAUCAUUAAUAUAAGCAAUGUCUCUUCUGAUAAUUUGCUUCUACCCACACCUCCCAUCCAUGUAGCAAAGCAUGGGAUCUGCAAGCUUUGCCAUCAGCCUGUACAAGUC